GACGAACGCUGGCGGCGCGCUUAACACAUGCAAGUCGAACGGAAAGGCCUGCUUUCCCUUGUGGAUUGCGGGUACUCGAGUGGCGAACGGGUGAGUAACACGUGAGUGAUCUGCCCCCAACUUGGGUAUAAGCCUGGGAAACUGGGUCUAAUUCCCGAUAGGACUGCAGGGUGGUGCCUGUGGUGGAAAACGAUUUUCUAGUGGUUGGGGAUGAGCUCGCGGCCUAUCAGCUUGUUGGUGGGGUAAUGGCCUACCAAGGCGGCGACGGGUAGCCGGCCUGAGGGGGUGGACGGCCACAUUGGGACUGAGAUACGGCCCAGACUCCUACGGGAGGCAGCAGUGGGGAAUAUUGCACAAUGGGCGGAAGCCUGAUGCAGCGACGCCGCGUGGGGGAUGACGGCCUUCGGGUUGUAAACUCCUUUCGACCGCGAGGAAGCCACCUGGUUGGAAGGGUGGUGACGGUAGUGGUAGAAGAAGCACCGGCUAACUACGUG
rnacentral:rRNA from 1 species